rfam:Eubacterium sp. An11 An11_contig_32, whole genome shotgun sequence.
AGAAGCCUGGGAUGUUCGAGAACCCCUGCUAUUUUGAACCUACAUUUUUGAUUUUGGGAAACCAAAUCUUUGAAGGGAUGGCAGGCCUUGUUUUAUAACGGAGGAAGUCAGAAAUUCAAAUGAGGUUACCCACCUGGCUUAGGCUAGGACUCAAAAUCGCAGGACACGGCAUUUUGGGCCAAUG